rnacentral:misc_RNA from 1 species
UUUUUUUUUUAAAAAAAAAGUAUUUUUACAGGAAAUUAUUGUUGUCAAACGUAUCUACGGAAAAGGAGAAAAAAAGAAUUUUUUUACCAGCAUACAACAAAAUUUCUAAUGGUAACUAUUUCUGAACAGGAGCUUCCGAAUAAACUACAUAGAAGUUCAGAAGCACUUGGCAAUACAAAACCAUCACUAACUCUUCAUAUACUAUGGAUCUCUAUCUUCAAUAACAAUAUAAUGAAAUGAAGAAGAUGACACUAAGAAUUAGAACUAGUAUGACACAGCACAAAAUGUAAUGUGAAAUCACCAAGAUCAACAUGACCGAAGCAAAACAGGACCCACAGAUGAGCUGAGCAUAUCACUAAGAGCUACUUGGACCUCAUUUGACCCAUGUUCACAACUUAUCAAGCAUGAAAGAAGGGGGAAGAAAUAACUCAAGUUCUUUUCAAAUGAAGUGUCUCCUAAACUACAAAUAGCCUGGAGAGCUGCAACUAUAAGAGGAGCCCGUGCAGCCAAUUCCCUCCGUUUACCA